rnacentral:rRNA from 1 species
UACGUAGGGUGCGAGCGUUGUCCGGAAUUACUGGGCGUAAAGAGCUCGUAGGUGGUUUGUCGCGUUGUUCGUGAAAACUCACAGCUUAACUGUGGGCGUGCGGGCGAUACGGGCAGACUGGAGUACUGCAGGGGAGACUGGAAUUCCUGGUGUAGCGGUGAAAAUGCGCAGAUAUCAGGAGGAACACCGAUGGCGAAAGGCAGGUCUCUGGGCCACUACUGACGUGAGAAGCGAAAGCAUGGGGGAGCGAAACAGG